AGUGUAUAUAUAUGUGUGUGUGUGUGUGUGUGUAUGUAUAUGUGUGUAUAUAUAUAUAUACACACACACACACACACACACACACACACUAUAUAUA